rnacentral:rRNA from 2 species
AAACUUUCAACAACGGAUCUCUUGGUUCUGGCAUCGAUGAAGAACGCAGCGAAAUGCGAUAAGUAAUGUGAAUUGCAGAAUUCAGUGAAUCAUUCGAAUCUUUGAACGCACAUUGCGCCCGCCAGUAUUCUGGCGGGCAUGCCUGUCCGAGCGUCAUUU